rnacentral:lncRNA from 10 species
CCCUCCAAGUCUUCCAAAAUCUGAAGGUUUAAAAGAAUGACCAUGUAUUUGCUUAUGAUUUUACAGAUCAGCAAUUUGUGCUGGGAUCAGCUUCCUUCUGCUCUGGCUUGGGGUUACCCAUGCAGCUGCCGACAUUCUGCAGAUUAUCUACUGAUGUCUCCCAGGGAAGAUGAGGAUCCGGCUCCCGGCCCUGCCCCACCCUCCCACACGUGCACAUUUCCUUCGUGCGCAUUUCCUACACGCAUUUUUCCUCUGCUCUCACUCAACAACAAUCAACACAGAAGACUUCUGUGACCAGAUGUGUGCAGAUCUCUCCCCACCAACAAGCAAGCAAUCAAUUCUGCAGCGGACACCAGCUGGGUGUCCUCUAAUUCAGUUCACUUCUGAGACCAUCUGCCUGGAGACAGCAUCAGAUCACGGGUUGAGGGCUCAGUCCCACAAGACUGCUCCCUCCCACUUCCAAUUCCCAUCACAACCCCCAGGGGUUGUAUUACCUGUGCUACUGACUAACCAGCUAUAAAUUUGGGUUCCCAUGACUCACUCCUCAAGUUCAAUUAAAUUGCUAGAGUGGCUCACAGAGGCAGGAAACACUUAUGUUUACCAGUUUAAUUGUAAAGGAUAUCACAAUAGAUACAGAUGAAGAAAUGCAUAGGGCAAGGUAUGGGGAAGGGACACGGAGCUUCCAUGCCCUUCCUGGGCACCCUGCCCUCCUGGAACCUCCACAUGCUCCGCUAUCCAGAAGCUCCCCAAACUCUGUCUUCUUGGGCCUUCUAUGAAGGCUUCAUUGGAUAGGCACGUUUGACGACCAUGUAGAAAUGAAAUUAAACAAAAAUGGUUUGGCCGGGCACAGUGGCUCACACCUGUAAUCCCAGCACUUUGGGAGGCCAAGGCAGGUGGAUCAACUGAGGUUGUGAGUUUGAGACCAGACUGGCCAACAUGGUGAAACCCCAUCUCUACUAAAAAUACAAAAAUAGCUGAGGGUGGUGGCGUGCACCUGUAAUCCCAGCUACUUGGGAGGCUGGGGCAGUAGAGUCGCUUGAACCCAGGAAGUGGAGGUUGCAGUCAGCCAAGAUCGCGCCACUGCACUCCAGCCUGGGCAACAAAAGGGAAACUCGGUCUCAAAAAAAAAAUUAGUUUCUCAUUUAUGAUAAAAUAACAUUUUUUUCAAAAUGUUGACAUUUUCAAGAAGUUAAAAAAAAAGUCUUCCCAUUAAUGAGUUUAUAAAAAAAAAUAAAAAAGAAACUUCUUAAACCCUGAAAAGCAGUAGGCUCUAAUUUCGUGAAUCUCAAGUGCUAAUAAUCCAUUUUCUGACUGAUCUAGAAUAUCCGGUUCAUAUUCAAAUUUAAGCCAUCAACUGUAUUUUCUUUUUCCAAACUCGGUUUCUACUCAGCUUCAAUUCAAUGCAUAAAUUUGUCUUUUUAUAAACUCUUGAAAUACAACUGCAACAAUUUUCAUCAUUGCUUUUUUUCAUAAAAUAAUCAAUCAUCUAAAAAUGGUUUUGAUUGAAAUGACAAAAACAGCCUCUGACACAUAAUUAGAACAUCUAAUACAUUUUGAUUAGGAACUUGCUCGACAUUCAUGCCAGUUUCAGAUACUGAGAAAUAAAUUGAUUUUAGUAAAAAUAUGUUUUUACAAAAUGCUUACAUGUGGUUGUUUUAGAACAUAGAGUACUCGAAGUUUUGAUCUCUUGGUUUUGCAAAUCCGUAAUCCAUAGUUCAUCUUAUGUGAAAAGCAUGUAUAUAUACUUUUAAAGACUUUGAUUGAAGUUAAGGAUAACCUUAUAGUUUUGAAAUAUCUAAUGAAGCAUAUUUCAGCUAAAAAGAAAAAUUUAGGUUUUUGUUAGGGAAAAUUUCGAAUAUAUACAAAAGUAGAGAGAAUACUGUAAUGCACCCUCAUAUCCCCAUUAUACAGCCCCAACAAUGAGCCACACUCAUAGCCAAUUUGUUUCAUCUGUGUCCCCAUCCACUCUCCACUUCCGGCCCAGACUUGGUUAUUUUUAAAGAAUUCCAUGUAUCAUAUUCGU